CUCUAUAAACUGCACAACUUUUCAGAAGUAAACAAUAGGUUUUUAAGUUUAAAAAAUUCCUUUGUUUUGCCUUGCUAACAUAAAAAUUGUUAGGAAAAUUAAAUUUUGAAACAGUUUUUCAUCUUUCCAGCUUAAUUCAAAGCUUUUAAAUGAAAAUUAAUAUUCACAGUAAAGAGAAAAUAUCAGAUGGCUCUUGAAAAUGCAGCUGUUAAUGCAAACCAUGAAGCUGACAGAAGUGCAGAAUAAUUCUCUCCCUUUUAAUGAGAUUGUGAAUGGAGAUUACAAAUAAGAAUGCCUGUAGUGAUGACCAUUCUUUACAUGUUGUGGAGGAAGUUCUGCUGAUGAUUACGCUAUUUCUAAUUAAGUGGCGUUGUUAAUUGGAAACUGACUUGAAGAAAGGGAAAAGAAAUGUGAUAAAGAUGACAGCUAUUAAAAAUUACUGUUUUGUACUUUUGAUUGUUGCUCACUUUUAACUCUUAAUUGUUAUAAAAAAAUUGAACAAAAAUU